rnacentral:rRNA from 1 species
UACGGGCCAAAGAGGGGGACCUUCGGGCCUCUCGCGCUAAGAUUAGCCCAGGUGGGAUUAGCUAGUUGGUGGGGUAACGGCUCACCAAGGCGACGAUCCCUAGCUGGUCUGAGAGGAUGAUCAGCCACACUGGAACUGAGACACGGUCCAGACUCCUACGGGAGGCAGCAGUGGGGAAUAUUGCACAAUGGGGGAAACCCUGAUGCAGCCAUGCCGCGUGUGUGAAGAAGGCCUUCGGGUUGUAAAGCACUUUCAGUCGUGAGGAAGGGGUANAGGUUAAUAGCCUGUAUCUUUGACGUUAGCGACAGAAGAAGCACCGGCUAACUCCGUGCCAGCAGCCGCGGNANUACGGAGGGUGCGAGCGUUAAUCGGAAUUACUGGNCGUAAAGCGCAUGCAGGCGGNCUGUUAAGCAAGAUGUGAAAGCCCGGGGCUCAACCUCGGAACAGCAUUUUGAACUGGCAGACUA